UGAAAAUUUUUUGUAGGGGCCCCGCCUUUUUUGUGUGUUAAAUAUUUCCGCGCAAAGGACAAGAUAUCUGUUUUCUUGGGCUAAGUACCGAAUUUUGGCCUAAAAAAAUGAGAUAAAGUCACUCGAAAGCGUUUGCAACGUACGCGUCCGGUAAAAUUUUGCGUCCGAAAAAUUUUUUUACCUCUAAAAUGGUACACUGACCGAAAAAUUUUUGGCGACGGGGGGGGGGUCGCCAAAAUAAUAUCCGGAAAAAAUUUUUCCGGAAAAAUUAUUUUAGGUAGGGCCCCCUAAAAAAAAUUUGCCCCGGGCCCCCGCCAACCUCUGGGCGGCCCUGAUUUGAACUUUAAAAGAAAUAAGGAUAAAUGUAAAAUGACUCGUUCUUUCGACGACGUCGAUCGAGGGAGAAAUUUCAAAACAAUACAGACAGUAAUAAUUAAGUUCUUUGUAAUAAGUUCUUCAAUACAAGUAAUAAGUUUUCAACACAGACAGUGAUAAGUUCUUUCUUUCCGCAAACAAAACUAUUAAUACAGAUGGUAUUUGAAUUUGGGAAUGUAGUUUUGAUCGUAGUUUUGCGACCUCGCGCUAGCAGUUCAGUUUAGGUUUAAGAUUAUUAUUGUGUGUUUAUAUAUCUCCACACAAAAAUCGGAGUUGAGUAUUUUUUAUAGCAUCGGAAAUUACUUUGCAGCCAUAAUUUGGCUGCAAAGUAAGUAAACAAAAAUUGUAUUUUGGCUUUGCUACUAUUCUUUGACUUUGUCAUUAUAUAUCGAUAAUUAUUUUUACAACAUUUUAUUGAAGCAACUGCAGAACUGUCAACACAUUUUACUCUCUGGCCAGUUUAUUAAAGCACGACUUUAAUAAUAUACAGUACAUACAAUAUAGUAAAUUAGCUCAGUGGUUUCACCGCCCACUAUCUUCUAAGCACCCUGAGUGCAAGGAUAGGAUCCGGAGCUGAGCAAUCAAUCAAAUCGCGCAAAAAGCACUAUACACUUCCCCGA